UACGUAGGGGGCAAGCGUUGUCCGGAUUUAUUGGGCGUAAAGAGCGUGUAGGCGGUCAGGUAGGUCCGUUGUGAAAACUCGAGGCUCAACCUCGAGACGCCGAUGGAAACCAUCUGACUAGAGUCCGGAAGAGGAGAAUGGAAUUCCCGGUGUAGCGGUGAAAUGCGCAGAUAUCGGGAAGAACACCCGUGGCGAAGGCGGUUCUCUGGGACGGUACUGACGCUGAGACGCGAAAGCGUGGGGAGCGAACAGG
rnacentral:rRNA from 1 species